AUUAACGCAGUACAGUCUCCCCCUCCCCCUUCAUUUUCUUGUCCUACAGGAGGCAAUGAAGCUGUCCUAUGGUCUCUAGUAGCUGUAGUCCUGGUCCUUGCUGUGAUAGUGGCAGUUUUCUGGAUCCACUGGAGGAGGACACCGCCCCAGACAACAGAUGCUAAUGGAAGCCAAGAACUGGAAUAUGCUGACAUCACUGUUGUGAAGAAGGGGAAUGUGAGGAAGGUUGUAGUGUUGGAGGGUUCCAGAUCAAACACAGUGAGAGACAGACCUACAGGGCUGGAGGACACUAUUUAUGACGGAAUAAAGCCUGGCCAGUUAAUGGGAGAUUCUUCAUUGUAGCCUGGAGUUGCUUAAUUUGUCACUGUAACAACAGUUUUUCUCAUAUUACAUCGUUCUUCAAAGUUUCUGUAAUUUUGUUAAAAUGUCAUCACAUUCACAGUUUAUAGUUAUGUUCAUUGUUUAUCAGAAUAAACAUCCCAAAAACCAGGACGUCUAGAUCUGUAAUCGUGUUUCUGUUGAUUUACUGAUGUUUUCCUGUGAUGUAAGAUCAACCUGAACAUACAUCACAUCAUACAAUAUGCUGAAACAAAUUAUUGAAACUUGGUAACUGUAGAAGUGAUCCAGAACCAAGUGGCCCCACUGAAACACAACACUAACUAUCAUCCUCAAUGGUAGAAUGGUGCCGUUUUUAGUUCUUUUUUAGUUCUUAUUCUGCAUCGAAGAAACUAACUCAGGUGAACACACCUUUGCAAUCCAGAGCAUGUUACAUAGUUCCACAAGACUAAAUGUAAUUUAAAUGUAAUUCUUGCGAUUUGCUGCAACCCAAAGUGAGUUAAAAGCAUCAGGGAUAUAUUUCAAUUUGUUCUGAUCUCCAGAACAUCUCUCUACUCCCCUCUCAAAUACAUUUCUUUCUCCCUCUCGCCUCUGUAUUUCUGGUUCACAUUUUCACGCUUUAUAACGGAAAAUUCAUACUUAUUAACAGUAGUGGCCCAAUGUCAGUCCUGACCAGCAGUGUGUAAAGGCUGAUCAGUAUCAUGACACAACAGCUGUCAUUUUCACAUCCUCACACCCAAAAGAAGCAUCCCCUUUUCAAUCAAUAUCUUGUCUAAUAUGACACAAGAGCCAUGUAGCCAGCCUGGCUUCUUCUAUAAAGAGGAAGUGAAACCUUGAUUAGGCUUCUGCUCAGCAUCAGAACCUAUAAAUAUUCGUCUUUUAUAUCAGUUUUGCGUUGGUUUUGUUUACUGAAAGACAAUUAGAGUUUGAGGACUUUGUUGAAGGACUGAGCAUGGAGGCUGUUUUAGGACUGUUUGUGAUCUUAGCAGGAGUUGAAUAUGGUCAGAACAUACCCAGAGAUCCACAUACUUGGAUGAAAAAUCAUAAGAAAUGUCUUGAAAUGUCUAAGAUGUUAAUGUGAAGACAUCUUGAGACGUCUUAGGAAAAGUCUUAAAAAGACUUGCCUUCAUGUGUUAUACAGAAAACAACAUAAUGAGGCUUUUAUAACCGGUACUAAGAUCAUCACUUAAUCAAUUAUCUUCCUGUAGGCCUAGAUAUUUUACUAUGGGCUACUCAGAAACAC
ensembl:lncRNA